GCCUCCAUGAUUCAGUUGGAUAAUGACCCUUCUCGUGAGCGACGGCUUUGCAUGGAACGGCGGUCGAGGGUUCGAAUCCCUUUGGAGGCA